rnacentral:rRNA from 1 species
AGUGAACGCUGGCGGUAGGCCUAACACAUGCAAGUCGAACGGCAGCACAGUAAGAGCUUGCUCUUACGGGUGGCGAGUGGCGGACGGGUGAGGAAUACAUCGGAAUCUACUUUUUCGUGGGGGCUAACGUAGGGAAACUUACGCUAAUACCGCACACGACCUACGGGUGAAAGCAGGGGAUCUUCGGACCUUGCGCGAUUGAAUGAGCCGAUGUCGGAUUAGCUAGUUGGCGGGGUAAAGGCCCACCAAGGCGACGAUCCGUAGCUGGUCUGAGAGGAUGAUCGGCCACACUGGAACGGAGGCACGGUCCAGACUCCUACGGGAGGCAGCAGUGGGGAAUAUUGGACAAUGGGCGCAAGCCUGAUCCAGCCAUACCGCGUGGGUGAAGAAGGCCUUCGGGUUGUAAAGCCCUUUUGUUGGGAAAGAAAAGCAGCAGGUUAAUACCCCGCUGUUCUGACGGUACCCAAAGAAUAAGCACCGGCUAACUUCGUG